UACGAAGGGGGCUAGCGUUGCUCGGAAUGACUGGGCGUAAAGGGCGCGUAGGCGGUUUGGUUAGUUAGGCGUGAAAUUCCUGGGCUCAACCUGGGGGCUGCGCUUAAUACAGCCAGACUAGAGUGUGAAAGAGGGUCGUGGAAUUCCCAGUGUAGAGGUGAAAUUCGUAGAUAUUGGGAAGAACACCGGUGGCGAAGGCGGCGACCUGGUCCGAUACUGACGCUGAGGCGCGAAAGCCAGGGGAGCAAACGGG
rnacentral:rRNA from 1 species